rnacentral:rRNA from 1 species
GACGAACGCUGGCGGCGUGCCUAAUACAUGCAAGUAGGACGCAGUUGCGAACGGGUGAGUAACGCGUAGGUAACUGCCUAUUAGAGGUGGAUAACUAUUGGAAACGAUAGCUAAUACCGCAUACUAAUAGAUGGACCUGCGUUGUAUUAGCUAGUAGGUAGGGUAAUGGCAUACCUAGGCAACGAUACAUAGCCGAACUGGGAAGGUGGUCGGCCACACUGGGACUGAGGCACGGCCCAGAUCCCUACGGGAGGCAGCAGUAGGGAAUUGUCGGCAAUGGGGGGAACCCUGACCGGGCAACGCCGCGUGAGUGAAGAAGGUUUUCGGAUCGUAAAGCUCUGUUGUUAAGGAAGCGGUACUUAACCAGAAAGGGACGGCUAACUACGUGCCAGCAGCCGCGGUAAUUC